GACGAACGCUGGCGGCGUGCCUAAUACAUGCAAGUUGAGCGCUGAAGGUUGGUACUUGUACCAACUGGAUGAGCAGCGAACGGGUGAGUAACGCGUGGGUAAUCUGCCUUUGAGCGGGGGACAACAUUUGGAAACGAAUGCUAAUACCGCAUAAAAACUUUAAACACAAGUUUUAAGUUUGAAAGAUGCAAUUGCAUCACUCAAAGAUGAUCCCGCGUUGUAUUAGCUAGUUGGUGAGGUAAAGGCUCACCAAGGCGAUGAUACAUAGCCGACCUUAGAGGGUGAUCGGCCACAUUGGGACCGAGACACGGCCCAAACUCCUACGGGAGGCAGCAGUAGGGAAUCUUCGGCAAUGGAGGAAAGUCUGACCGAGCAACGCCGCGUGAGUGAAGAAGGUUUUCGGAUCGUAAAACUCUGUUGGUAGAGAAGAACGUUGGUGAGAGUGGAAAGCGCAUCAAGUGACGGUAACUACCCAGAAAGGGACGGCUAACUACGUG
rnacentral:rRNA from 1 species